rnacentral:rRNA from 1 species
AUGCUAACAAUCUUGAGAAAACAACUCAAUGGCACACGGAGAAAGAUUCUACCAUUAAGCAACACUUUCCUUCUACCAUGUUCGUUGAGCGGGUUUGAGCAAGACGAAACUAUAAGUCAUUACUUCACCAUCACAGUUAACAUGCAAAAACAGCGUUUUGAACUCCUCAACUCUUCAAAUGCAUAUCCAGGCACAAUAGAAUUCUUCAACAAUGUAACCAGCAAAUUAAUGAAAAUCUGGAAGCACAUAAGCACAGAGCUACAGCUUUCAGAAAAAAGCAUCGACCAUUACAAAAAGGUCAGACUGCAGGUGCCACUUCAAGGAGAAGACACAAUGGACUGUGCAUUCUACAUGUACAUGAACCUGAAGCACUACUCCAGUGAUGGAACAACAACAACCUUAAAGCCAGAACAAGUACGAAAGUUGAGGGAAAAUGUUCUAUAUCAACUAAUCAGCCAACACAGAGGGAAUACAAAACUGUCACUAAUCAAGUGUACAACAGAUAUGCUAAAAUAUGAAGUAGAUAUGGAAGACAAAGAAAUGCAACAAGCAGAAUGUUGCAUACUAGAAGAGUUUUCGCCAACUACCGGGCCAAAAGAACAUAUUAUGCAUGCGGCAACCACACAAGAGCAUGAAGUUAUUGAUAUAUCCAGUAAACACAAAGAUAUUAUGGAUGUCAGCAGCCAUGCCGUCGCCCAACAAUCUUUCACAGUCCACGAACAAAAUGAUCCACCAAUAGAACCAGAUCAACCACCACCAGACGACAAGAUACCACACCAUGCCGAAGAGGAAACAAACGAGCAAAAUAUCAACAGCAAUAUCACGAGCACAGAGCAACUGGAACAAACAGGCACUGAUUUAAAAGAUGAUGACAGAAGCAACGACGUACCAAAUACACAACAACAGGUUUCCGAGCAGAAGAAACAGCAUGUUCUUCUUCAAGAAGAAACAGGCUCAACAAGCAAUCAGCAAGGCACCUCCAGCACCAUCUCUUUAGACUUCCUAAAACCAAAAACAAUGGAAAAGCAAGAAGAAGUUGACGAAUUUCUUUCAAGCCUUAACCCACUACAACUAGAGGUGUACAACGACCAUAUAAAGAUGGGCUCUAACUUCGAUUUAAUCAAAACAUGGCUGAACGAGCAUGAAAGCUAUGAAUUCAACAAAAAUCCCAAGCCGUAUCUGACAAUCUUGCAGCAAGAGUCAGGAGAACAUUCAAUGCCUCAAUCAUCUGAGAACAGCUUAGACAAGAAAAUCUCGGUCAAGAAAAGGCCGGUAAAUCCUUCAAGAAGGCUCCUUGGAGAAAUCAAGAUUCCUACAUUUGUCCCAGGAGAUUUCAAAUUCAUGAACAAAGCCAGAGCACUCCAUGAAUACCUAUUCAGCAAAGAAGGACAGGACGAAUGCGGAGAUCUAAAUGUAUAUAUUAGCUCGACGCGACCCGAUUGGGUUACAGGAAAACAAAUAAUGGCACAGCUAAUGAAAGGAGAUGAUGGACAGCUCCAUCGCAAAUGCAUUGUUCAACGAAUGGACAUCGCAGCAACAAUACAACACAACCGAUAA